CCAGCCACGGGCCCGGCCUUCCCACAGUGAACUCAUCCGGGACAAUGAUGAAGGCAAAGCCACUGCUACCCAGACCACUACUAGAAUUUGAUGUCCCUUUACCAUAACUGUUGUUGAACUGGAAAGAAAAGGUGGUCUGGAAUGAAGCUGGGGUUUGGGUGGGAGGAUCGAAGAGGCGGAUGGGAGCGGAGUAGAUGGCUCGCCCUGCUUGGUGUCUAAGAUCAACAGCUUGCGAAGCAUCUGGGAUUUGGAGUGAGGCCUUAUCAUCAGAGAACUUCGCACUGCCUAGAAGCUUGACAUCCUGGUACACACUGGGAUUGCUUGAACUGAAAUCUGGAAAAGAGAGAUGCUUAGACACGUUAACAAGAGGUCCGGAACUGAGCCUCUUGUCAUUAUGGGAGCUCACCAGAACCGGGUAUUCCAAUAAGCAUAGGAGACAGGAUGAACAGAGCAUCAUCAGCCAUAGGAGGCAGUUGCAAGAACCCAUUAC
rnacentral:lncRNA from 1 species